rnacentral:misc_RNA from 1 species
CACCAAUCAAGCCUGGCUUGGUAUUGGGCGACGGGGGCCGUCUAACACACGCCCCGCGCCCCAAUGACUCCCCGGCGGGACGGACUGGAUCUCAGCGUUGUGCAAAUGUCGCUGGCGAUUUCCGGGACGGCCGUGCCGUGAAAACCCCCAAUCUAUCACA